rnacentral:rRNA from 1 species
AGGGAAACCGAGUCUUAAUUGGGCGUUAAGUUGCAGGGUAUAGACCCGAAACCCGGUGAUCUAGCCAUGGGCAGGUUGAAGGUUGGGUAACACUAACUGGAGGACCGAACCGACUAAUGUUGAAAAAUUAGCGGAUGACCUGUGGCUGGGGGUGAAAGGCCAAUCAAACCGGGAGAUAGCUGGUUCUCCCCGAAAGCUAUUUAGGUAGCGCCUCGUGAAUUCAUCUCCGGGGGUAGAGCACUGUUUCGGCUAGGGGGCCAUCCCGGCUUACCAACCCGAUGCAAACUGCGAAUACCGGAGAAUGUUAUCACGGGAGACACACGGCGGGUGCUAACGUCCGUCGUGAAGAGGGAAACAACCCAGACCGCCAGCUAAGGUCCCAAAGUCAUGGUUAAGUGGGAAACGAUGUGGGAAGGCCCAGACAGCCAGGAUGUUGGCUUAGAAGCAGCCAUCAUUUAAAGAAAGCGUAAUAGCUCACUGGUCGAGUCGGCCUGCGCGGAAGAUGUAACGGGGCUAAACCAUGCACCGAAGCUGCGGCAGCGACGCUUAUGCGUUGUUGGGUAGGGGAGCGUUCUGUAAGCCUGUGAAGGUGGCCUGUGAGGGUUGCUGGAGGUAUCAGAAGUGCGAAUGCUGACAUAAGUAACGAUAAAGCGGGUGAAAAGCCCGCUCGCCGGAAGACCAAGGGUUCCUGUCCAACGUUAAUCGGGGCAGGGUGAGUCGACCCCUAAGGCGAGGCCGAAAGGCGUAGUCGAUGGGAAACGGGUUAAUAUUCCCGUACUUGGUGUUACUGCGAAGGGGGGACGGAGAAGGCUAUGUUGGCCGGGCGACGGUUGUCCCGGUUUAAGCGUGUAGGUGUGUGUUCCAGGUAAAUCCGGUUCACUUUAACACUGAGGCGUGACGACGAGGCACUACGGUGCUGAAGCAACAAAUGCCCUGCUUCCAGGAAAAGCCUCUAAGCAUCAGGUAACAUCAAAUCGUACCCCAAACCGACACAGGUGGUCAGGUAGAGAAUACCAAGGCGCUUGAGAGAACUCGGGUGAAGGAACUAGGCAAAAUGGUGCCGUAACUUCGGGAGAAGGCACGCUGACAUGUAGGUGAAGUGAUUUACUCAUGGAGCUGAAGUCAGUCGAAGAUACCAGCUGGCUGCAACUGUUUAUUAAAAACACAGCACUGUGCAAACACGAAAGUGGACGUAUACGGUGUGACGCCUGCCCGGUGCCGGAAGGUUAAUUGAUGGGGUCAGCGCAAGCGAAGCUCCUGAUCGAAGCCCCGGUAAACGGCGGCCGUAACUAUAACGGUCCUAAGGUAGCGAAAUUCCUUGUCGGGUAAGUUCCGACCUGCACGAAUGGCGUAAUGAUGGCCAGGCUGUCUCCACCCGAGACUCAGUGAAAUUGAACUCGCUGUGAAGAUGCAGUGUACCCGCGGCAAGACGGAAAGACCCCGUGAACCUUUACUAUAGCUUGACACUGAACAUUGAGCCUUGAUGUGUAGGAUAGGUGGGAGGCUUUGAAGUGUGGACGCCAGUCUGCAUGGAGCCGACCUUGAAAUACCACCCUUUAAUGUUUGAUGUUCUAACGUGGACCCGUAAUCCGGGUUGCGGACAGUGUCUGGUGGGUAGUUUGACUGGGGCGGUCUCCUCCUAAAGAGUAACGGAGGAGCACGAAGGUUGGCUAAUCCUGGUCGGACAUCAGGAGGUUAGUGCAAUGGCAUAAGCCAGCUUGACUGCGAGCGUGACGGCGCGAGCAGGUGCGAAAGCAGGUCAUAGUGAUCCGGUGGUUCUGAAUGGAAGGGCCAUCGCUCAACGGAUAAAAGGUACUCCGGGGAUAACAGGCUGAUACCGCCCAAGAGUUCAUAUCGACGGCGGUGUUUGGCACCUCGAUGUCGGCUCAUCACAUCCUGGGGCUGAAGUAGGUCCCAAGGGUAUGGCUGUUCGCCAUUUAAAGUGGUACGCGAGCUGGGUUUAGAACGUCGUGAGACAGUUCGGUCCCUAUCUGCCGUGGGCGCUGGAGAACUGAGGGGGGCUGCUCCUAGUACGAGAGGACCGGAGUGGACGCAUCACUGGUGUUCGGGUUGUCAUGCCAAUGGCACUGCCCGGUAGCUAAAUGCGGAAGAGAUAAGUGCUGAAAGCAUCUAAGCACGAAACUUGCCCCGAGAUGAGUUCU